rnacentral:snRNA from 1 species
CUGAUUUAUUCCUGAAUUCC